GGCCUAAUGGCUCAAUGGUAGAGCGCUUGACUACGAAUCAAGAGGUUCCAGGUUGUAAGUACUAGCUUCAGAACCAAGCUAGAGUUCGAAUACUAACAGUAAUUCAGCGAGCCCUGGUUAGGUCA
rnacentral:tRNA from 1 species